rnacentral:lncRNA from 1 species
GCCCAAAAAGGUUGUGCACAAGACUAGAAAUAUAGCUCAUAGCACUAAAUGUUCUCCCUGCAAUUCCAGUUGAACUGAAGCUCGAGAUGUUGAAGAGUUGUGAGAUCUAAAAACAUGAUGGUGGAAGGGUUAAUUAUAGUUUGUGUCACCAACUUUCAGCGUAUUCCAAAGAUUGCCCCGCCUUACAGAAUCCGGAAACGGAAUAAUAAGUCACAUCGCCAUAAUCUGCAUUAUUCAAUACUUAAAUUGCAGAAAAAAAAUCCUAAAAUAUAAGAAUCCGGCGACGUGACUCGUCAUUCUGUGGCCGGAUUCUGUAAGAUGAAGCAUAAAUCAAACUUUUUCUAAAGUUGAAGGUUGUUGAAGUGAAAACAUAAUUUGAUGACACUUUAUGGAAAAUAUUGAAAGUUGGGGACAAAAACUAUGAUCAACCCAAAUUUUUAUUACUUUUGAUGCCACGAUUUAGGAUAUACAAACUUCUGACACCUGCAAUUUGAAAGCAAUUACACCUUCAUAAAACCAAAUCUCUCAUCCAUGAUACCUAAAUACAAUAAAAAUCUGAGAUGUGCACGUGAUGAAGGUAUAUACUUAGAUUCAUCAUUUACCCUCUAAAUUCGCACGGACACACAUAAUGACAGCUAAAUAAAACAAGGUGGAGACACACAAGGCAAUUUAUUUGAGGAAAAAACUGUAUAACAACUAAUUAACUAACGACAGCUUCAUACACUUCACAUUGAACAUUGAAGGAACAUCUCUACCGUACCUUGCAUCGGAACCACGCACCGCGAAAACCCUCCUCGAAAGUCCUAGCUUCCGCCACUUGCCCAACCUUGAAAGGUAGAUUCAUCUUGAUUUUAGGGAAUUGAUUUGUGUUUAACUGUUUUCAACGACUGUUCAAAAUAAUGUUCGCUCCAAGAAAAGCAAAAGCAAUGGGAACCUAUUUAAAAUCAAAUCUUAAAUUUUAAAUUGAUUUGAAUGAAAAAC